GAGAGAGACAUUUUUUGUUUAUUAAAAAAGAAAUGCUGAAUGAAUGUACACAGCACAGACUAUUUUACUGGAUAAAUCCAAGCAAUAAGUAUCAUUAAAUGUUCUUGCAUUUUAGAAAUUUAAAUAAUUAUGAAAAUGCAUUUGAUUUUUUUGUGCCUUUCUUGAUGUUAAGCAGUAAUUUUUAAGGGGGCUCUAUUUACUCAUUACUUAAUCAAAUUAGGUCUUUUUCUUCUUCUUGAGUAUACAUGUAUAUAUAUAAAAAAAAAAUACUAAUGGUGCAAUCAAAAGUCAUAAGUUAUAUAAGGUCAGACCACUAAGGUCAAAAGAUAAAAGAUAAAAAUAUUUAACACAAAACACAAGACUGAAAACAAAUGAAUAAACAAUGUUUGGUGUGAGAAAGAGCUCUGUGUUGAAGGCCGUACCUUGACCUAUAAUGGUUUAAUUUUACACAUUAUUACUUGAAUGGAGAGUUGUCUCAUUGACACUCAUACCACAUCUUCCUAUAUCUAUCACAAACAAAAUCAAAACCCAAAUUUUAAACCCAGUGCACUAGAUGAGUAGGUAGUUCUAGUUGUAUUUAUGUCAUCCUUUAUUAUUUUUUUAUUAAUCAUGUAUAAUUAUAAUUAGUGGUGUGAUGAUUUGGUCUGUUAUUUUUGUCGAGCCUGCAACUUUUGUUGCAGAAAGCUCGACAUAGGGAUAGUGAUCCGGCGGCGGCGGC
rnacentral:lncRNA from 1 species